rnacentral:rRNA from 1 species
CCUACGGGAGGCAGCAGUGAGGAAUAUUGGUCAAUGGACGAGAGUCUGAACCAGCCAAGUAGCGUGAAGGAUGACUGCCCUAUGGGUUGUAAACUUCUUUUAUAUGGGAAUAAAAUGUUGCACGUGUGGGAUUUUGUAUGUACCAUAUGAAUAAGGAUCGGCUAACUCCGUGCCAGCAGCCGCGGUAAUACGGAGGAUCCGAGCGUUAUCCGGAUUUAUUGGGUUUAAAGGGAGCGUAGGUGGAUUGUUAAGUCAGUUGUGAAAGUUUGCGGCUCAACCGUAAAAUUGCAGUUGAAACUGGCAGUCUUGAGUACAGUAGAGGUGGGCGGAAUUCGUGGUGUAGCGGUGAAAUGCUUAGAUAUCACGAAGAACGCCGAUUGCGAAGGCAGUUCACUGGACUGCAACUGACACUGAGGCUCGAAAGUGUGGGUAUCAAACAGGAUUAGAUACCCCUGUAGUC